rnacentral:tRNA from 1 species
GGGCGGGUAGAUCAGCUUGGAAUGAUCGCGACGUUGGCAUCGUCGAGGUCCGGGGUUCAAAUCCCCGCCCGUCCACCA